rnacentral:rRNA from 1 species
AUUGAACGCUGGCGGCAGGCCUAACACAUGCAAGUCGAGCGGAUGAAGGGAGCUUGCUCCUGGAUUCAGCGGCGGACGGGUGAGUAAUGCCUAGGAAUCUGCCUAGUAGUGGGGGAUAACGUCCGGAAACGGGCGCUAAUACCGCAUACGUCCUGAGGGAGAAAGUGGGGGAUCUUCGGACCUCACGCUAUCAGAUGAGCCUAGGUCGGAUUAGCUAGUUGGUGGGGUAAAGGCCUACCAAGGCGACGAUCCGUAACUGGUCUGAGAGGAUGAUCAGUCACACUGGAACUGAGACACGGUCCAGACUCCUACGGGAGGCAGCAGUGGGGAAUAUUGGACAAUGGGCGAAAGCCUGAUCCAGCCAUGCCGCGUGUGUGAAGAAGGUCUUCGGAUUGUAAAGCACUUUAAGUUGGGAGGAAGGGCAGUAAGUUAAUACCUUGCUGUUUUGACGUUACCAACAGGAUAAGCACCGGCUAACUUCGUG